UGGGCGCAGCCUGAUGCAGCCAUGCCGCGUGUGUGAAGAAGGCCUUCGGGUUGUAAAGCACUUUCAGUCGUGAGGAAGGCGGUGUAGUUAAUAGCUGCAUUAUUUGACGUUAGCGACAGAAGAAGCACCGGCUAACUCCGUGCCAGCAGCCGCGGUAAUACGGAGGGUGCGAGCGUUAAUCGGAAUUACUGGGCGUAAAGCGCAUGCAGGUGGUUUGUUAAGUCAGAUGUGAAAGCCCGGGGCUCAACCUCGGAAUUGCAUUUGAAACUGGCAGACUAGAGUACUGUAGAGGGGGGUAGAAUUUCAGGUGUAGCGGUGAAAUGCGUAGAGAUCUGAAGGAAUACCGGUGGCGAAGGCGGCCCCCUGGACAGAUACUGACACUCAGAUGCGAAAGCGUGGGGAGCAAACAGGAUUAGAUACCCUGGUAGUCCACGCCGUAAACGAUGUCUACUUGGAGGUUGUGGCCUUGAGCCGUGGCUUUCGGAGCUAACGCGUUAAGUAGACCGCCUGGGGAGUACGGUCGCAAGAUUAAAACUCAAAUGAAUUGACGGGGGCCCGCACAAGCGGUGGAGCAUGUGGUUUAAUUCGAUGCAACGCGAAGAACCUUACCUACUCUUGACAUCCAGAGAACUUUCCAGAGAUGGAUUGGUGCCUUCGGGAACUCUGAGACAGGUGCUGCAUGGCUGUCGUCAGCUCGUGUUGUGAAAUGUUGGGGUUAAGUCCCGCAACGAGCGCAACCCUUAUCCUUGUUUGCCAGCGAGUAAUGUCGGGAACUCCAGGAGACUGCCGGUGAUAAACCGGAGGAAGGUGGGGGACGACGUCAAGUCAUCAUGGCCCUUA
rnacentral:rRNA from 1 species